rnacentral:rRNA from 1 species
AAAGCUCUUUUGUCAGGGAAGAAACGGCUGUGGCUAAUAUCCAUGGCUAAUGACGGUACCUGAAGAAUAAGCACCGGCUAACUACGUGCCAGCAGCCGCGGUAAUACGUAGGGUGCAAGCGUUAAUCGGAAUUACUGGGCGUAAAGCGUGAGCAGGCGGUUUUGUAAGUCUGACGUGAAAUCCCCGGGCUCAACCUGGGAAUUGCGUUGGAGACUGCAAGGCUGGAGUCUGGCAGAGGGGGGUAGAAUUCCACGUGUAGCAGUGAAAUGCGUAGAGAUGUGGAGGAACACCGAUGGCGAAGGCAGCCCCCUGGGUCAAGACUGACGCUCAUGCACGAAAGCGUGGGGAGCAAACAGGAUUAGAUACCCUGGUAGUCCACGCCCUAAACGAUGUCUACUAGUUGUCGGGUUUUAAUUAACUUGGUAACGCAGCUAACGCGUGAAGUAGACCGCCUGGGGAGUACGGUCGCAAGAUUAAAACUCAAAGGAAUUGACGGGGACCCGCACAAGCGGUGGAUGAUGUGGAUUAAUUCGAUGCAACGCGAAAAACCUUACCUACCCUUGACAUGUCAGGAACCUCCGAGAGAUCGGGGGGUGCCCGAAAGGGAGCCUGAACACAGG